rnacentral:tRNA from 1 species
GUUAGCGUAGCUUAACUAAAGCAUGACACUGAAGAUGUUAAGACGAGCCCUAGAAAGGCCCCGCAGACA